UGAGUCCUACGGAAAAUAAAAGAGACAAGCUCGAACUUAAUUUGCUUGACAGACUGACGCAGAAAAUUGAGGAAUACUCAAUCAUGUUUGGUUAUAAAACACUUACACCGUUCUCCCUUUGAUGUGUUCACUAAUUUUGCUCAGAUCUUCACUGAAUGUCUUUACUGAGUGACGGAGCAUCUCAAUUUCCUCGUCAGUCCAUUUACUGUGAUAAUAUGAAUGUUCUUAGGAUUAUUUCAUGGAUUUCAACUUGAGAAAGUACGUGUUCAGAGUUGUAAAUUUCUACAGAAGAAUUCGUAAAGGAAAAGUGUUUAAAAUUUUCUACAGCGGUAGAAACAAUUAUUUUCGUUCGCAUAUAUGUUUCUCUUCCAACAAAUAUUGGGCACUUGAACUAAUUUUAAAUUUAUAAAAUGUUGAACGCAGAUAACUUAUUGUUUUAAACAAAUUUAGUUGAACGAAUGAAAGGGUUCAUAGAGUCAAGUCCCAUGGAUUCGCCCCUAAAAUGGAAAAUUUUGUUGUAGUUUAAUAUAAUCUGUAAUAACAACAAAUUCCUUCUUAUGAACUGAGAUUUAAAUCAGCGUAGAUUUACCGUAAUUUUACAGUAAUGCCGUAAUCAAAAAAUCACCACCGACAUACACGGAUAACGGUAUUUAAGAAUGAAAUAAUCGAUAUAAUUUUCUGUUUUAUCACUCAUGAAACAGUCAAUAGUUGAAAUCGUCUAGAAACUAAUAUCUGUUCAGAAAUUGAUCAGCUCAAUCUAAUCUAAGCCAUACUGGGAUGUUCUUAACAGAAAAUGAUUUAUUUAAUUUGAAAAAUCCCGCCUAAAUCGCUCACACUUCUUGUGCAAUGGCGUCCGAACCUCAACUUCCCAUUGGCAGUACUGCUCGAGUACAAGCCUAUAUAAACAAUAAACACAUGGCCUAUACGAUUCAUUCAACAAUUAAAAAAUGGAAAAGCUCGAAAAUUCUGAAAUUACUUACCCUGCCGGCGAAUCUGUCGUCGGGUGUAGCUGCAUUGUGAGUUCCCCCAGUUUGUUGAACGCCGCGCCGGCGGCUGUAAAUAUUUCUCCAACCUGAAUCAGUUACAAAUAUUCAUCAAGGAUCCAUCUUCGUUGGCUUCUGAACGUAAAGUAAAGGGCGGGCAUUUGGGGAGGGGGACACGUGACCCGAGGUCCCAGGACGAGUGAAAAAUGGUGGGGGACAGAGAUGAUUCAGGUGCUAAGCGACGGAUUGAUGGACGCAGUCACAGAGUUGCCACAUUAACAAUCAAUUCAUCCACCUCAAAAAAAAUUCAUUGGACUAUUUAACAGUGUCAUUUGAGGCUAAGAGAAUGGGGGAUAGACGAUAGUUGGUGAGUGGGAGGCAGACUACCGGUCUCUGUUGUCCAUGCACUUCUGCCAUCUGGCGUCAUUGCCUCGUUCUAACCUCAACCUUAACGACCACCGAAUCACCUUGGAUUUUUUUUCAAAUAUGAGAUUGCGUCGUGAUGUCGAGAUCGGGAAAAAUAAUCAUUCACGCACCUUUGAUUCAAUUGAAUCGUUAAAUCGAGCCAGGGACGAUGAUUGGUGACGUGCGUAGCGAAUGUUAAAGGAAUCGUGGAGAUACGAAAAUUAUUCGAGGAUAACAUCUCAAUUUUUUACUUCCGAAUGGACAAUCGGUUCAUUUAUUUUGUGUGGAAACAAUGGACAAUGCUAGAAAAUAUCACCUAUUUUUUGGAACACUAUAGGCACAUGUCGGUAAAUGAAAACUAACUUACACAGACAAUUAGGAUACGGAGUAGGAAAUGAGUCCAUAGUGGAUCCUCGCCCUUUUGGAAAUUGCUCUUGAUUUUUUUCUACGAUGGGGGAACUGCAUGACUUUCAUUAUCGAUAGAAUUCAUAGCUUUCAUUAUCAACAGUUUUUAGAAAAUAUCUACAACAGAAGCGUAAAAAAGUAAAAUAAAUUAAUUAAAUUUCAAAAAAUGAAAGAGUCAUUUCCUUCUUCACUCAACUUCAUUUAUUUGAUUUGAUACAAAAAACGGAAGAGGGAUUCACAUGGGAAGUUCGAAAAGGCUGAAGAAAAUUCAAUGUCUUAUGUUAUAGGAUGAGAUUUUGGAUGGAUAAAAUUGGAUGAACAGCUGUGUCAAUGUGCACUCCUACUAAUAGACUUGUUAUAAAAAAUUGUGGUGGAAUUAGUGCAGCACUCAGCUCCUCAAGCUGCAACAUACAGAAACCUGUCUCUCCGCAAGUUCUCUCAUCGCCAAAAUAGGUCUUCUCAAACAUUCUAUCUCGAAAUGACUCAAUCCCACGAUAAUUGGAUGAUUAAGAAAGAUGUCACGUUUAUCUUGUUAGGUCUUGAAACUUCACUACGAAAUUUUAUCAUCCUUUGGUUAAUAAUAUCACUGGAUAAAUACAAUACCUGUUUCAUCCAUCAUUAAAACUUAAUAUGAUACCAUGCCAACGGAUGUUUUGCAUAGAAUUUAAUCUUCGAAGCUUAGUCAACAUCGCUGACUGUCACGUGAGUCAUCAUUUUUUACUAAUAAUAUAAGGGUCUUCAAAAUGAUAAACGUUGAAAUAAAGUGCUGACCAUAUCUUUUAAUGGAUGUUAUUCUGAGUUGAGAAAAAAGUUUGUUGAUGUUUUGCUCCAAGAUAGCUCGUUCGUCAGAUGAUUUCAUAGUUAGCACAGAGACCGUAUUCCACUUAUAACAAUAUCAGUAAAAGUCUUAUUUGUUUUUCUCAAUCGAUGGGAAAUCUCCGAAAAGUCAGAAAAAAGUUGAGUUGAUUUCCUAUAUGGACCUUCCAGGAUUUGCGUUCUUUUCUACCGUCCAGUAAAGAGGGAUUGGUCGGGAAGUUAUCGGUUUAAAUAAUAAUGGGUCACACCCUCUGCAGUUUACCCCAACCAACACACCCAUAAUGGGAGCGAACGUAACGAGUGACUAACACAGUACAUAAAUUUUUGCUAAUUAUGUGCGUAUCUGGGAAUCAAACCAUUUUUCGAUAAACGUACACGCAGUGGAGAAUUAUAAUGAAAUUACAUUAUUAAAUUUUAUAUGAUUUCCAAGCAAAUUACAAGACGGAAACUCAACAGAUUUGAUUGCAUACAAAUAUUUGAUUAUCAUUAAUUAUCAUAUUCUCUCGAAAAUCAGUAUUUUCCUACCCCAAUUAUUAUCCUGAGUGGUGAUAAUCUGGCGAAACCGGCGCUUUUCUUCGCAAACAAUUCUCUCUAUAUGCUUUUCCAUUUCUCCAGUCAACUUCAAUUUAUUUAUGAGUGGAAAGUCCUCUUCACCGCUCCGUCUCAUUCUCCGUGAUGCGUUCCUGUAACACUUCCACGGUUGCGGUUCUAUUACUAGCACUUUAGUCACUUGACAAAUGUCCUCCAAAAAUUUGACAAGCCCUUCAUCUCCAUAGUUAAGAUGAAUCCACAUCGUGAUUGAAAAACAAAAAACGACAUCGAAUUCUGUGCUUUUCAGUCUUCUCAAAUAAUCAGAUAACACAUUUUUUCUGUCUUCAGAGAAAAAAUCGAGACACUCAAAAUUUAUGGCCGGAUUGGAACAACUUUCACGCGCUCUUUCGAUUAAAAUCGGAUCCAGGUCAAUUCCGAGUAUUUGAACAUCAGUUUCGCUUGGCAAUUGUUCCUGUAGAAAUUUGUGGAGUUCGAUGGUCAAAUUCUAGAAAUAAGUAGAGUCUACAAUCAGAUUUAGCAAUUAUUGAGAUUGAGAUGAAAUGGGAUCCCAAUUUCCCGAGGAGCAGCAGGAAACGUCACAGCAUGAGCCAUCCACUGGGCUGGACCCUAACGUGUUAAAUCUCUUUUAACACAUAACAAAUUGAUGGAACAGAAUGGAAGUUGUUCUGAUGUCAGUAACUGGGGCAAUACAAACAUGAGGAACAAUUGGAAAUGACAAGGAACUAAUUUUCCUUGAGAUGGAAUUGAGGGUGAAAUAAUGAGCACGUGGUUUUAACUUUAUUGCGAGCUGUUAUGCUGUGGCAUUGAAGUUCUGUUCAGAGACUGCUGCCCUCUGGGAGUCACUGGAGUACUCAAUUUUAUUGCGACAGAACACCUUGCAACGAAGGAGAAGUGAAAAAUGGGGGAAAUGAGGGUGAGAGAGAUGGAGAGAAUUUGCCAAGAGCGGAAGGAUAAUUCGCUAGUGUCCGCGACCCAGAUUACGCUUGGCCUUCGACGACGGUCCUUGGGGUCACGGUGAACUUUAGAAAUCGUUGAGAUCUUUACUGAGAUCGCGGGAUUUGCCAAUGACCCACAGGAACAGGAUCUCAAUUCAUCUCAUCCUGGGUGAUUGAUUUGCUCUCUUGGGAUAGGGAGAGAAAUAUUGGAAGUAUGCUGUCCAGGGGGAGUUUUGCUGUGCCAUUUGACGUGCAUGACAUUUGACACUUGCAGAGAAAAAUAUGGGAGACUGUUGCAGGAAAUGUAUAACGGGGAUUCACAAUUAAAAGACGUACUGUUGGAUAAUUCAGUGACUCAGUGAUUGUUAACAAUGAAAGUAUCAUGCAGCAGGCAGAGAGUAGACAUUUAGGUGAAAAUCAUCGAUGUUCGGAAAAAAAUCUUCUAUUAAUUUUUGUUUAGGCCCUAGACAUGUGGAGGAAAGAGGUAUCAAGCAUGCCAUGGUCUUUAAGAGCUUGUAUCACAGAAUUUGUCAACUCAAUGACGUAAGAAAAAAUUGAAUGAAUCAGGAAUAUUCAGCGUCAUUCAAAUUGAUUCCGCGCAGUUAUUAUGUUUUUAAACAUUCAUUGUUUGUAAACGGAUAAUGAAGAAGGUUGAAACUUCCGGGAGCGUUGUUUGAAGAUGGAAUUGGUCAGUCGCAAAUGUUUUAUAGAAAAUUUUCAUAGUUUGAAAAGAUUCUGUUCGAUUUUAGACUAUUCCAUCAAUUUUUAUCGAACAGGAAACAGUCAAAACUUUGCCAGAUUUAAACAAUAUUUUCUAACGUUUCCCCAUCGAGCUGCAAACUUAUGCAUGUCAAGGUUACAUAAUACAAUGAUUGUCAUUUUUCCGGAAAUCUAGAGUUGGAUAUCGCUGACGUACAACCUCUCGUGUUCCACUACAAAAUUAAAGAAACAUUUUACAUCCUCAAAGGCCACCACCAUUGACGAUCUCUUUUUGCCGGAUGGUGCUAACACUUCUCAAAUUUUUCAUGUUUUUUAGACGCCCCGUGUUCCUAAAUACAAAGAAAACACUGAUAUUUCAAAACUACAAAACCCAAAAAAUUAAGGAAUUUCAACAAAAGAAAUUGGAAUGGAGCACGCACUCCUGCAUCCCGCUCUGCAGAGGUAAUAAGAGACUGCACCUGGAGUCCAGGCAUCUCCACAGGGCAGGUGCCCUCUGCUCCUAGGCUCUUGGCUGCAUAAAGAAAAAACAAAUUCCCGUUUCUCAACAGUCGCGUGCGGCAUCGCCUUCUUCUCCCUUAUUUCAUCACGAAAAAUGAGCCAAAUGCCUCGACAGAUGGUACCGAGUCACGUACUCCUCUUGAGGCCACACAAGAGAUAACGAAAGGAGCCGUGUAACAAUGAGCUAUACGCCUGCUGUCAGAGUCUGAAUAAACGAGACAAAUAUUGAAUAUGAUUUUACGUCAUCACGUCAUCGAUUUUUUCGCCACAUUCUUUAUUUAUUCAGAUAUUUGAACAGACUGGGGAUUCCUCCUUCUGUGACCACGAAACGCAGUUAUUCGCAAAAAAACAAAUAUUUCCUAAAUCAGUAAAUAUGUUAAUGACUAGCAUAAAUCUUGAAAAUCCAAAGUUCACAAAAUUUUUGCGAAUUUGUUUUUCUCAUUAACCUUUCUCAUUAAGUGACGUGACAAAAAUUCCCUACUUACCUACUUAUGAAGUGGUAUAAAUGCCACCUGAUUUCAAAGAUAGUAACAACAAGGGACUCCCCUGAUACUAGAUUAGAUUGCAAAUUGUAAUUUUGCCCAAUUGAAUGUCUGGGAAUUUUUCAAAAGAGAAAUGUUGCAAAGCUGCCUUGACCCGUCUUAUGAGAAAAUCUAAAGACCUAAAGAUAAACCCCUUAUUUGUAAUCAAAAGUACUUUUUCAUUUACUAGUGAAAAAAAUGUGAAAUUUGUGAGAGAAAAGACUUCAUUUACUAGCAAACGAAAAAAUGUACGCCACUUCCUCGUUACACGUGUGAGGGGGUGGUUUAGGUCGUGUAAUUGACAGCCCUGGGCUUUCCCUCGGGCUGCCAGCUUUAUACUCGUUGCCACCCCGUCGCCCUUGUAUCGAAAUAUACUAGUAUUUGCAUUUGACGUUCUUCAUAAAAUAGAGUUACGUGUUAAUGGUAAUUUGGGGGCUAAAUUAACUUGGAUGAUUGAACAAAUACGUUCGGAUUAACAAUUUUUUCCCUCACGAUAACAUUAUCUUUACAACAGCUGUCAAUCGCCCCAGUCUAUAUUUUUUCCGAAGUAAUCACACUACAUUAUUUCAUCAUCUCAGUUAACCGACUGUUGUCAAUAUCGAGGAAACUUACCAUUCAAUUUCAUGCAUUUCCCACACCCAUCACCUAGCUCUUUUGUUAUACAUUUAGGAGGAAAAAAUUCAAGGUUUAUUCACUCCAAUCAACUUUGAUGAAAUAAGGAAAAAAUGGAUAUAAAAACAAAACUAACAAGGGAGGACAAAAAGUAUAACAAAAUUAUGUGGAUGAGAACAAAAGAUUCCAAACUUUCCUGCUUAUAAAUUACAAAUAGAAGGAAACAGGGUUACAUAGCGAAACGCAAUGUCUGAUUUUCGCACUUUUGACAAAUAUUUCUUAAGCACUAAAAAAAAUAUCUGAAUAAAGUAAAAAUUGACUUGAACUAAAAACAUGAAAAGAGUUGAAAUAUAGAACAUGGAUAUUUCUCAAAUGUUAUAUUUUUGCAUAAACGAGGUCGGAAAAUUAUAAAAAAAUAUGUUUUUCAUAAAUGACUUAUAUCCUCAUCGUGUACAUUGCUCUACAAGUUCCCAUGUACAGCACAUAUCCGUGUAUAGAGUGAAAUCCAUGGAAAAAUGUAUAUUGAAUGUAAGAGUCAUCUCCUUACCCAAUGUGACGUCGGGUAUAAUUAAUGAUGUCGCCAGACCGGACAGGGGAAUUGCCAUUCCUCUCGUAAUUUGUUGAUGAUAGCAGGCUCCAUCAUACACACAUCAUCAUACAACUAUUAUCCUUUUCUGCACUCGUCUCGAAAUUUAUCCUUCCAUGCGAGUGCGAAAUUCAGACAUUUCGUUUUGCUGGUUGAGGAGUGUUGUAGUCCUCGAUUGACUUACCGUUCUCCUCCCACUUAAAAACCACAAAUAAAUACCCGCCCUAAACGCGAUAAAGAUUCAAGUAAGCAAACACAAACCCCCAAUACAAAAAGCGUUUCGAAGUCUUCGAAAAAUAAAACGGUGAGGAGUUUUUUUCCGCUUUGAAUCUGUAAAUAGGAAAGCCCCCCAGCCAUUUCCGGGGUGCCUGGCUGGAGAUAACCUAUCCUAAAGGUGACCCCCACAUCCGGCCCAUUGACAUUUGUAUUUUACUUGUGGAAAAUCCAUCCUUUCCGGAUUUAUCAGGUUCUCAAAUUGUUCCUGCCUGCUUACCUGAUCUUUUAAACCCAAAUUUGUCUACCAAAAUUUCCCUGGGUAGUACAAAUCCGUUGAUCUCUUUGUUGACGUUCCUACUGAACCUUGGAAUUACCUUGCUCUUCCUUCCCAGGAUCAUUGAUGGAAAUUACCCAUCUGAUGCAUUAACAGAAUUUAAUGGAUUUCGUACCGUGAAAUUGGAGCUAACUUGUCAACGGUUGGCUUCGUCAGAUCUGAAGAUAAGAGGAACUAUAAAUUUUAGAAUUUAAAAAAGUUGCUCUUACAGAAUCCACAUUUUUCAGUUUAAUUUUCUUUCUGAUAGAACCAAUUUGUUAUUAUUAACUAAUGGAUUUUGAUUGUCGAUUAAGGUUCAUUUGACUUUAAACGUGUACAGGGAGAGAAUUUUUUUUUUUAAUUACGUUCCUCUUCUGUAAUCUACCAACUUUCAGGAAAAAGUCCAGAACAUUCAAGACAAAGUAUAGAACAUUCAGUGAAAAAAUGCGAAACUGUUCCGAAAUUUUGACUGAAUACUGUUUUCACUGGCAGAUUACAGAACAGGCUGGUAAUAAAAUUUUCAGGAAAUUUUUCUUUCUGUGGGAAGACAUCGGCAAUAAUGCGUUAAAAGCAUUAGAUUUUUCAGUAAUUGCACUCGAAUUUUCAUAAAAAAAGAGAGGAGAGAUUCCAUUGACAUUCUGUCAUUAGUAAUCCGGCCUAAUGCUCCAUCGUUCGUGAAAUUCGCAAAUGUUCUGUUCCAUCUCGCAUCAUACAACUGCAGUUCUUAGGCCACAUAAAUCCAUUUGGGCUGUCUGAUCCGCUCCCCCUUUUGACCAAAGACCCCCGGUACCCCCCCAGAUAUCUUUAUUUACAAGGUUGUAAAAGAUCUUUCCUCACCUUGGUUUUCCUCUGGGUUGCAUAUUUUUACGAUUAUUGCUCGAAGUUUAUUCCAUCCCAUUUUCCAGUUUCCUCAGUCCCCAGGAAGCGGAAAUACAUUGACAAUGACGGUUGGAAAUUGACUCGAGAGCUAUUGAAUACGUAAGAAAAAAAGCUGGUCUGAGCAAUUCACCGGAUGUCGGAGUAUGUAGAAUCAAAACGGAUGACGAGACUUCCGGGAUGUUUGUGAUCUUCUCAAGCCCCUUCGAAUCAUCUCGGCCAGAAAAAUAUUAAAGGAGGAAGGAAUUAAGGGGGAUUGUAACCGUGGUUAAAUUCUCUGGCCUUUACCAAUACCGACAGUUCUGGUUAUGGGGUUAUAAACGGAUUAAUCCCAAGAUUUUUAUAAUCAUGAUAAUUUGAAUGGAAUUAAAUUUUAGGUUUGGAAAGGGUGGAACUAUUUCCGUCUACCUAUUCGACCCCCUUCCCCCACCCCCUUUUAACGAGGGGUUUUGAUGAAAUUCCUGAGGGGUUUUUUCAUAAUAAUGGAAUAUUGGGGGACAGAUAAAUAACUUUGAACACUGUGGAUUUAAUACGUUAAUUUAAGUUUAUUGAAAAUGGCACGAGGAAGAAAUGUCUGUUCACUACGACUUACACAGCAGACUGAAAGUGGUCGAGGCCAAAAAAAAAAUUGUCAUAAUGUGACAAAGGAUCCCUAGUUCCUUUGCCACAUGACCUCAUGGCUUAUGUUUAUGUCUAGACUCAACAUCUCUCUCUAUGUUGAUACAUUUUUGAAAUCAUAGACUCAUAGAAAUCAAUUCGUUUUCAUCGUGUGAUUGUGUGAGGUAUGAGAGAUAGACAGAAUCGUAUGGGAACGAAUAAUUUUAUUGGUGAAUAAUUAGGUAAUUUUUGUUGAAUUAAUUAUCCAUCAAUAUUCUCAAUUUCUUAAUAUUUCGUAAGUCGAUACAGUGAGAACAACAAAUAAUUUUUGUCAGAUAUUGCUAGAGGGAAUAAUUUCGAUUGAUUUUUCACAUUCGUUUAACAUGGGAAAAAAUAAUCUUCCGAUUCUUUAUUUCGUUUCUCGGCUUCCACCUCCCCUAAAAUUCAGAUAAAUUAUUACAAAAUUCGUGGGAAUAUCCCUCUCUCAAUCAGAUGUCCUCAUCCAAUUGUUCUCUUUCCUCUCCAAUCUCCAUGUGGACUUAUCGCGCUCAGUUAGACGCAAUAUAUGUUUCGAUAACGUUGCGCUCCGUUGUGAAGCCGUUUAAUUAUAGUCACGUGAUGUCUCUCACUCGUGUUUGACGUGUUUACAUUUGCGUAAGGCUAUUUAAGUAGACUCAAAACGACGAGAAAAAUGAAUAAUAUAAUGGUUCAGUUUCAGCGAUGUGGAAAUUCAAAAUUGAGGAGUAUUCGACCUCGGUGGAAUAUUUAUACCUGUCCCUUUUUCGUGUAUCGUUCAAUUUGCCGAUUAUUUUAUCACAGGCCUUCGUUUUUGCGGAUGAUCGAAUCGAUUUCAGUCCUUGGCUUGGUCUCUCAGUGUCUGCCAACGUGACGCAAUUCUCCUCGCCUCUUUCUUGAUACCCACAACUGUUAUGUGUUCCAAUAUCAUCAAUGUAUGUGUUGUAACAUCCGGUCGUGUAAAUUUUAUUUUCGGGCUGUUUCUUCAGAUUUAAACUAUAAUUGCCACAAUCGAUCGACUUUUUAAUGGCGGUGCUGAAGCAUACAGUUCUGGGAGAACAAGGUCUGAAUUAUUUCCAGCAAAGUCCGGAAAGCUUUAACGUGUCGCAAUUUUACUAAAGAUAUAGAAGAUCUUGACUUUGAAAAUUCAGAAAUUCGCAAAAAGAUGAAACAGAACUCGAAAUUUCCGCUCUGUUUUGCUUUAGAAAUAAAUGGAAAGCUAGACAAAUCUGGUAAAUUCAUUCUUGAACUGUGAGGACAGUGGCCCUGGAGACGAUUUCGAAAUUAACCAAGCGAAAAUUCAGUUUUCACUGAAAAUGCAGGAAAAUUCGAAGAUAAGAAUUCCGUAAUUUAUUUAAAUUUGCAAUAUAAUACUCGGCAAAAAAUUGAGACAAAAUUUUUUAUAAAUGUGAGCAAUGAUUCAUAAUUGGGAGAUUUAAUGAUUGAAAAUGGUAAUCAAUUAUCCUUAACUCACCUUCAUAUCGUCCUGUAAUCAUAAGAGGUAAAAAAGUUUUCAUGGUCGCGCAUUGAACAUUUUUUUUUCUUUUUUUUUGUCGGUGACUCGCGUACGAAAUCGUUAUUUCAGGAUAUAUUUUUUUUAAGUUGAACUUCUGCCACUUAUCACAACAGUUUGACUGUUAAUUCGCGGUUUAUCGUACGGUUUUCCUCUCUGGGUCUUCCUGUUGACGCUGAAUUUAAGCGGUUACAAAAUCUAUUCCACGUUUCGUUGUCAAUGAAACGGAAUGGUAAUUUUUUGUCAGCAAACAACCUUGACAGAGAUAAACCGAUGGUCACAAUAUUUCAAUUCUCCCAUUUUUUAAAAUUAUCACUUUGCUGUUUGUGAGGUUGAGACUCGAAUGCGUGUAACUGGGUCGCCAAGAAAAUACAUGAUAGGUGAAUUAUUGCAACUACUUUGAAUUGACUCCUCGAACGACUUAACAUAAAGUCUACAUGACUUGUAAAAUUAUAAAUCAAGGACAUUUUGUAGAAUAGAACAUCGGUUUAGGCUUGAUCCGCUUAUCUAAUGGGGUGCAUUAGCCAACAUUUCCUAGAAACCAUAACAGAUUAACAAUAGAUAUUUCUAAAACUUCUUAAGUCCAUCAGAUUCUCUGCUGAAAAGCCCAGCCAAUAUUUUUAGUCCUUCCCUUUUUGUAAAGAUAUUUAUUCCCUCAAAAACUUGUUUUUAAUCACUCUACCAGGAAUCGUAUGUGAAAUAAGUCAAUCUUCUGUAAUUGGGUUCCCCAUAGGGAGAAAUUUUUGGUAAAAUAUGCCUUUCCAUCUGGGAUUUUCAGAAUUUUUAUAAAAAUAAAUUUCUCACUCUAUUUUUAUUAGCCCUUUUUUUAAUAAAAUGAAAGAAAUAAUUCUAGACAUAAAGAUAAAUCCACAUCUCCAAAACAAACUGCUUUAAAAAUCAGGAAAAUCGAGAUCAAUUUCGACGAGGGUGAGGGUCCCCCCUUGAUUCACUUAACAUGGUCUACCUCAAUAUACCUUUCAAUAAGCCUGCAGGCUCAAUUAUCUGUGGAAAUGGGGAGUUCACAGGAGAAUGUGAAGUGGGGACUUCUAAUUCGACUCCAAUAAUUUUCUCAUUAAGAUUCUGAAAUAUCCAUACUCGACUUAACGAGGUUCGUUGAACCUUUAAUUUUCAGGGGCAUUGAAAAAAUCAUUAAAAAGUCCGGUUGGAGUUGAAAUAGAGAUCGUGUCGUAAUUGCUUGGAGAAGCAAAACAAGUGGGUUUAACGAAGAACAUCAGGAAUUCUUUUUCUAGAAUACGGAAUUUCCUAUAAAAACAUCUCAAUCAACCAAUACUUCUCGGCCUCUCACUUUUGAAGAUAUUUCAGUUGGAACAUCAUAUCUUCAAAUAUUAUGCCCCAACAGUAUAUUUCGAAUUAAUUCCUUGAACUGUUCCCUUUCUACUAUUUCAUUACCGCACUCAUCAGGCCUCACGUUGACUCAGUAACGCUAUAUGAACUUUUUGCGAGAGCAUCUUCAGAAAUCCCUUGAAUUAAAAAAAAUCGUUCUGCGUAACACAAAGAAAUGGAGAAAUUCGCUUUUCGCCUUUCAGUCAAUUUUGAAUGUCGCAAUACAAAUAAAUUCACCCACUAGUACCAAAUACUCUGAAUCGAUUAUCUGUCAGACAUGAAUUUAUUAAAAUAACCCUCAGUUCAUUACAAUUCCACAUUUUCUCAACGAAAUCGAGUUCAUAUCGCAUGUCGAUAUCGUGCAAAAGUCGCGUACGAUUGCCUCAUUUCCAUUGCGUACUCGGGUCUAUACGUCGCUCGGGGGCCUCCGCAGGGUCUUUGACAGAGAGAAAGAGAGACGACAAAAUUAAGAAUAAAGAGGACAAAGAGAAGUAAAAAAAAAAAUGAAGCAAUACAUAAAAAUGAGAAGCGAAACGAAGACUAAUACAUGGCUGAUCCUAUUGCGAAAUAUUCUCCUCAUAAUACACACACUCGGUGUCAAGUUUUCGAACCUUUUUUACGUCUCCAGCUCUCAGGGACAUCAGAGCGCGAGAGGGCGAUUGAAAUGAGUGAGAAAAAAAAAUUUUCUCAUUUUUAUUUUCUCGUAUUUCGCAGUUAAGAAUGAAAUCCAACGUGAAUGCAAUGUCAGGAAAUGUCCGGGGAGAGAAACGGUCGAGGUGAGACGACGAAACCUCACCUCGCGGUGGUACAUUGCGCCACAACAGCACUGGGGAUAUGCAGGCGAUCUGCUGAUGUUGCGCCAAGUGGAGACUUGAGGCAAUCGUAGGCGAAGAUCGGAGGAGAGAGAAUUGGAAAUAAUGGGCUGAGGGUUCAAUGACAACUUUUGAGAAUUUUAGUCAAGUAUUUGAUUGACUGAGAACAUCAGCAUCAUCAAUUCAUCAUUACCCGGGUAUAUCAUAUUUUUUCAUUAAAUUAACUGCCAUCUAAUCAAAUAACUGGCAAUUGCUCAUUUCUGUGAAUAGUAUAGUUGUUUUUGCUAAUAAUUUGCUAAUGAAUGGGCAAUAGGUUGCUAAAUGGGGGUUUUCUAUAUGAUUUCUUUCUGUCACGUAAUAGCCAUUGCUCAUUUCUUUCUUUUGCAAUACCUCUCCCUCUCCCUUUGCAAUAAAUUAUACCCCAAAUGGAAAAAUUUAGAUUUUAAAAAUAUAUCGAGUCGGCCUAAAUUCAAUUCAAUUAAUUACUCUUUCGGAAUAGCACUGAGAGCACCUUUCCUCACAUGUAACUUAGCGCAAUAAUUUAUAACUGAUGUUAGAACACAGAUUCUAAUCUAAUUGACAGUAAAAAUCUCAUUGAAAUCCAUUUAGUCGGAUGUGCGUGGAUCCCAGGCCAAAGGAAAGGCUGCGAAUUUAUUGUAUGCUAGAAUAUUAUGUAGGCACAGACGAUCUAGGAAAAAUCGGGGAAAAUGGCAGAAAAUAUUUUACCGAGAAUUCCCUCGAUUACACAAAACGUCUCUUUAGGAUUUUCUCGUAACGCUGCUAAUUACCGACAUGAUUGCAUAAAUAUUUCACAUUGUUCAAACCAAUGUUUUGUUAAUUGUUCAAUUAUCUUCGUAAUGAUAAUAUGAGGAAAUCUUUGAAAAUCUUUUUUACAGAACAAUUACUCGAGUCAUACAUAAACCUUUACGAAAAGAUCAAAGUGUUUAACCUCGUGGGUUCAGAGCUUUACAAAAAGCUUUAAUUUUAAUUUUAAUUGAUCGCAUACGUUGAUAUUAAUUAUUGAAAAAAGCUUAUUCUUAGAGGAAUAAGUUUUUAUAUUAAUCAGUUUAAUAUGAAAUUUUUCUCAUGAAGUAAUUAAAUUCUCUCGCUAAAAAGCACUGUGAAAUAUCACCCUGUGACUAAACUCACCUGUAUCCUGUCACACACACCGUUGUCAUUAACGGAAUGAGGAAAGCCCCAUAAUAGGACCGAAAAUUUGUUUCGACACAGCGCUUGUCCUCGUGCCACCGCUGGUGGCUUCGAUCAGGCUUAUUAUAGCAAUGUGAACUUUCCAAUUUGCUCGGAUGAAAGUAUUGUGCUCAACUUUUGGUCUCAUUAUUGGUCAUCGUGCGAGAAUAUGUGCAAUUACUCUAUCUCCGAAUUUAACGCUCAACGAUUUUCAUUUAGAUGUCUUGUUGUUUAACACAUGCCAAAAAAUUCUGUUGACUUUUUUACGAAUUCGCAUGAGCAUCCUUGUUGACCAAAUGUUUUAAAAAUAUAGAGAAAUAGCAGAAAAAUGUACAAAUAAUUAUUUCCCUUUUUACUCGAUAUGAUUUUAAUUUUCAAUCCCAUAAUCGAAUACAGUGGGAAUCUCAUAUGAGUUAUAACUCACCCCUUCACGGACUAGAAAUAACGGAUGAUAACUACUUGCAUGAAUCACAAGGUAUUAACUCAGAUGAGAACAAGUGACAUAAAGUGUUCAUAGCAAUGUGCGUAUCUCCAUCAGAGUAUCAAUCGUCCACUGUGGGAAUUUUUUGAAAUUGAAAUAAUAGGUAAACUAGAAUUUUUAUUGUUUG